rnacentral:rRNA from 1 species
GACAGAGGUGCCGAGCGUUAGGCGGAAUCACUGGGCUUAAAGCGUGUGUAGGCGGGCCGUUAAGUGCCCCGUGAAAUCCCCCGGCUCAACCGGGGAACUGCGGGGCAUACUGGCGGCCUUGAGCCACUUAAGGGCAGACGGAACAAGCGGUGGAGCGGUGAAAUGCGUAGAUAUCAUUUGGAACGCCAAUGGUGAAAACAGCUCGCUGGGAAUGAUCUGACACUGAGACGCGAAAGCCAGGGGAGCGAACGGG